rnacentral:lncRNA from 1 species
GAGAACUUCCUCCUGCUGGGGACAGGACAGAUGAGGCAGAAGGGGAGGUUAGGGAGGUUUGAAGAGUGAGAAGAACUUCUGCAGUGGCUGACUUGGAAGAUGAAGGAGGUUAUGAACCAGGGAAUGGGGGCAGCCUCUAGAGGCUGAGAACCUGCUGACACCUACCCACAACCGCUAAGGAAAUGAAGACUUUAAUUCCACAACUGCAUGCAACUAAACUCAGCCAACAACCUGAAUAAGUCGGAAAAAGGCUUCUCCAGAGCCUCCAGAUAAGAGGCCAGGCUGGCGACACCUUGAUUUUGACCUUGUGAGACCUAGAGCAGAGAAACUAGCCAAGAUCACUCAGACUUCUGAUCUACAGAACUGUGAGACCGUAAAUUUAUGUUGUAUUAAGCCACUAAUUGCGUGGGAAUUUGUUACAGGAGCAAUAGAAAAUGAAUACACCUUCUGAUGUAGUUUAAUCAGUUGACAUUAGGGGUGACACCAAGAUGUGCUACACUGAACCCAACUUCUGCAUGUUUAAGACAAGAAUGUGCAUCUUUAUUUUUCCUGAAUAUUUCUAUUGUCUAAAUACCUUAGUAAAGUUUACUGCUUCUACGGAUGGCCUAAAAGUUCUGGCAAUGAAAGAAGUAAAGUGUGAAUGUAUCCUUAAUACCAGCUAUUCAGAUGUCUUCAUCAAUUAUUAUGUGAAGUCUUUCCAGUUCUAUCCUAAACUGUAGAAACUCUUCCAGUUAAACUACAGAGCAUGAUAAGAGUUUCAUAACAUGCUGCCUCCAAGAAACGCAAGGUCAAAAAUUUACAUCAGGUAUCUGAAUGUGUAGCAUAUACAACUGAGUGUUGAAAGAAGACAAAAUCGUUUUCAUCACGAAGAAUAUGUGCUCAGUAAGAAUCAGAAUGUUCAAUUGUGUGAAGGUGGGAGAUGGGAAGAUUGGUAUUAUGGCCUGGAUCCAGAAAUCAGUCUUCCACUAUAGGAAAUGGGAAUUUAAAGAUGAUCAGAAGACAGUUGGGAGCAGAGUGAGAAUAAGAACCCUCAACUGCUGUCUCACCUUUCAGAUCACGAAGAAGUUUUUUACAAUGAGCAGAACACUCAACCUGAAAGCAGAAUGGAUUGAGUCACUGCAGCGUGGCAGUGGAAUGGUGUUUGAUGUUGGCAAAGGAAACAUGUACUUCUAGACUGGACAGUUUUCCCUUAGUUUACAGUUUCCAAAUAGAGACAUCACUUUGAAAUAACAUGGAGAACAUACAUGGAUGUACUGAACGAAGAAUAAAGUCUGUGUUGCAGUCCUGUCUCCAUUGACUUUUACAAAUAUGGCUUUGGAUGAAUCACCUAAGUUUUAUUUUUGAGAAUUUACGCUUACCAUGUAUAAAAUGAUAUUGCUAAUAUGUUUGCUGCCUACCCCAUUGGGUUUUGUGAGGAAUAAAUGAUAAUGCUAAGAAAAAGGCAUUGAGAAUUAUAA